UACAGAGGGGGCGAGCGUUGUUCGGAAUUACUGGGCGUAAAGGGCGCGUAGGCGGCCAACUAAGUCAGACGUGAAAUCCCUCGGCUCAACCGGGGAACUGCGUCUGAUACUGGAUGGCUUGAAUUCGGGAGAGGGAUGCGGAAUUCCGAGGUGUAGCGGUGAAAUGCGUAGAUAUCUGGAGGAACACCGGUGGCGAAGGCGGCAUCCUGGACCGAGAUUGACGCUGAUGCGCGAAAGCCAGGGGAGCAAACGGG
rnacentral:rRNA from 1 species